rfam:Canis lupus familiaris chromosome 9, whole genome shotgun sequence.
GCCUGGCUGGCUCAGUUGGUAGAGCUUGCGGCUCUUGAUCACGGGGUCGUGGGUUCAAGCCCCACAUUGGGCU